GACGAACGCUGGCGGCGUGCUUAACACAUGCAAGUCGAACGGAAAGGCCCUGCUUUUGUGGGGUGCUCGAGUGGCGAACGGGUGAGUAACACGUGAGUAACCUGCCCUUGACUUUGGGAUAACUUCAGGAAACUGGGGCUAAUACCGGAUAGGAGCUCCUGCUGCAUGGUGGGGGUUGGAAAGUUUCGGCGGUUGGGGAUGGACUCGCGGCUUAUCAGCUUGUUGGUGGGGUAGUGGCUUACCAAGGCUUUGACGGGUAGCCGGCCUGAGAGGGUGACCGGCCACAUUGGGACUGAGAUACGGCCCAGACUCCUACGGGAGGCAGCAGUGGGGAAUAUUGCACAAUGGGCGGAAGCCUGAUGCAGCAACGCCGCGUGCGGGAUGACGGCCUUCGGGUUGUAAACCGCUUUCGCCUGUGACGAAGCGUGAGUGACGGUAAUGGGUAAAGAAGCACCGGCUAACUACGUGCCAGCAGCCGCGGUGAUACGUAGGGUGCGAGCGUUGUCCGGAUUUAUUGGGCGUAAAGGGCUCGUAGGUGGUUGAUCGCGUCGGAAGUGUAAUCUUGGGGCUUAACCCUGAGCGUGCUUUCGAUACGGGUUGACUUGAGGAAGGUAGGGGAGAAUGGAAUACCUGGUGGAGCGGUGGAAUGCGCAGAUAUCAGGAGGAACACCAGUGGCGAAGGCGGUUCUCUGGGCCUUUCCUGACGCUGAGGAGCGAAAGCGUGGGGAGCGAACAGGCUUAGAUACCCUGGUAGUCCACGCUGUAAACGGUGGGUACUAGGUGUGGGGUCCAUUCCACGGGUUCCGUGCCGUAGCUAACGCUUUAAGUACCCCGCCUGGGGAGUACGGCCGCAAGGCUAAAACUCAAAGGAAUUGACGGGGCCCCGCACAAGCGGCGGAGCAUGCGGAUUAAUUCGAUGCAACGCGUAGAACCUUACCUGGGUUUGACAUGGAUCGGGAGUGCUCAGAGAUGGGUGUGCCUCUUUUGGGGUCGGUUCACAGGUGGUGCAUGCCUGUCGUCAGCUCGUGUCGUGAGAUGUUGGGUUAAGUCCCGCAACGAGCGCAACCCUUGUUCACUGUUGCCAGCACGUUAUGGUGGGGACUCAGUGGAGACCGCCGGGGUCAACUCGGAGGAAGGUGGGGAUGACGUCAAGUCAUCAUGCCCCUUAUGUCCAGGGCUUCACGCAUGCUACAAUGGCUGGUACAGAGAGUGGCGAGCCUGUGAGGGUGAGCGAAUCUCGGAAAGCCGGUCUCAGUUCGGAUUGGGGUCUGCAACUCGACCUCAUGAAGUCGGAGUCGCUAGUAAUCGCAGAUCAGCAACGCUGCGGUGAAUAAGUUCCCGGG
rnacentral:rRNA from 1 species